GUUAUUAUCUUGAAUAUUAUUAUAGAUAGAGAUAAAUUGUAAACAGCAAUAAUGUUCAGCAAAGUAAGAUCUACAAAUAAAUCAACAUGACCAAAAUGGUCAGUUUGACCCCUUUAGGAGUUAUUGCCCUUUAUAGUCAAUCUUUAACCAUUUUUCAUAAAUCUAAGUAAUCUUUUACAAAAUCUCCACUGAAACUACUAGGCCACAAUCAUCUUUGGGGUAUCUAGUUUGAAAAAUGUGUCCGAUGACCUGGCCAUUUAACCAAGAUGGCCGCCACGGCUAAAAAUAGAACAUAGGGG
rnacentral:lncRNA from 1 species